AGUGAACGCUGGCGGUGGGCCUAACACAUGCAAGUCGAACGGCAGCACAGUAAGAGCUUGCUCUUACGGGUGGCGAGUGGCGGACGGGUGAGGAAUACAUCGGAAUCUACUUUUUCGUGGGGGAUAACGUAGGGAAACUUACGCUAAUACCGCAUACGACCUACGGGUGAAAGCAGGGGAUCUUCGGACCUUGCGCGAUUGAAUGAGCCGAUGUCGGAUUAGCUAGUUGGCGGGGUAAAGGCCCACCAAGGCGACGAUCCGUAGCUGGUCUGAGAGGAUGAUCGGCCACACUGGAACUGAGCCACGGUCCAGACUCCUACGGGAGGCAGCAGUGGGGAAUAUUGGACAAUGGGCGCAAGCCUGAUCCAGCCAUACCGCGUGGGUGAAGAAGGCCUUCGGGUUGUAAAGCCCUUUUGUUGGGAAAGAAAAGCAGCAGGUUAAUACCCCGCUGUUCUGACGGUACCCAAAGAAUAAGCACCGGCUAACUUCGUG
rnacentral:rRNA from 1 species